rnacentral:rRNA from 1 species
AUUGAACGCUGGCGGCAUGCUUUACACAUGCAAGUCGAACGGCAGCACGGGGGCAACCCUGGUGGCGAGUGGCGAACGGGUGAGUAAUAUAUCGGAACGUACCCGGAAAUGGGGGAUAACGUAGCGAAAGUUACGCUAAUACCGCAUAUGCCCUAAGGGGGAAAGCGGGGGAUUCGCAAGAACCUCGCGUUUUCGGAGCGGCCGAUAUCGGAUUAGCUAGUAGGUGAGGUAAAGGCUCACCUAGGCGACGAUCCGUAGCUGGUCUGAGAGGACGACCAGCCACACUGGAACUGAGACACGGUCCAGACUCCUACGGAGGCAGCAGUGGGGAAUUUUGGACAAUGGGCGCAAGCCUGAUCCAGCCAUGCCGCGUGAGUGAAGAAGGCCUUCGGGUU